AUUGAACGCUGGCGGCAGGCCUAACACAUGCAAGUCGAGCGGAUGAAGGGAGCUUGCUCCUGGAUUCAGCGGCGGACGGGUGAGUAAUGCCUAGGAAUCUGCCUGGUAGUGGGGGAUAACGUCCGGAAACGGGCGCUAAUACCGCAUACGUCCUGAGGGAGAAAGUGGGGGAUCUUCGGACCUCACGCUACCAGAUGAGCCUAGGUCGGAUUAGCUAGUUGGUGGGGUAAAGGCCUACCAAGGCGACGAUCCGUAACUGGUCUGAGAGGAUGAUCAGUCACACUGGAACUGAGACACGGUCCAGACUCCUACGGGAGGCAGCAGUGGGGAAUAUUGGACAAUGGGCGAAAGCCUGAUCCAGCCAUGCCGCGUGUGUGAAGAAGGUCUUCGGAUUGUAAAGCACUUUAAGUUGGGAGGAAGGGCAGUAAGUUAAUACCUUGCUGUUUUGACGUUACCAACAGAAUAAGCACCGGCUAACUUCGU
rnacentral:rRNA from 1 species